AUGCCUGCUAUGCUUCAUUUUGCUCUUGUUUUCAAAAUAUCUGCUUUCUCUAGGAACAAGGAGGGCAAGCUCCUUCCCUGGGCUUCUAGCCACAACCAAGGGGUCCAGGUGUGGACCUUCUGCCCUUCCAGGUGCAGCACCACUGCAGCUAUGAACAGUUGGCCCUGCUUGGAGGAUGGACACAUACAUGCAUUCCCACCACGCCAUGGGCCAACAAAUCCUAAGUACCUGUCAAGCCUGUUGAGGGUGAGCCCCAGGCUGGCUCACACACCCCAACUAGACGUUCCGGGCUGCUCAUCAGGCACUCUGUCAUCUCCCCGAGCCCCAUGUGCACUGCGCUUUGAUGUGGGGAUGCAAUCAGCCACUCUCCAGGCAGCACAGCUUCUCCCAGGCACUGGGCCCUGGGGCGGCCUGUGCCUGCUGAUCUCCAGCACUGGUCUCCUCGCUCUGACUGUCUUGCACCCUUACCCGGGAAGGCACCCCUGCCACAGCCUGGAGUGUUGCGUGCUUUCUUCCCAGGUGUCCUCUCUCCAGCAAAGCACUUACCACACUGUACAGCUGUAUCUAGUUUUUCUGUCUGUGCCCCUUAAGCUUUGUGGUUAAAAGUCUUUUCCUGUCUUUAUUCCUGUUUGCUCUGUGUACUAUUGAAUGGAGCAGCAGACCUGCAAUUGUAUUUGUUGAAUAAAAUCUGAUAAUAUUGCUGUGGUGGCCCGCACACAGUAUGGGGAAAACAAGUACCCCUUUAAGCCUUUUGUGGAAGUGAAAUUUGGCACAUUGGGAAAAUCUGGCACUAUCUGUCAAAAUUCAAAUUGUGGUCAGCAAAAUUUUUAUUUUGAAAUUUAUUUAUAGGUCUAUAAGCCUAUGCAAGAAAUAAGUUUAAGACUAUCCACCAAAGCAUUAUUUAUACAGCCAAGGAUGAAACAGUGUAAAGAUGCAUCAACAGAGGGCUUGUUAAACAACACAUAUCAACAAAACAGAAUAGCAUGCACCCAUGUAAAGAGGUCACAUGUCAGCAUGUACCACAAUAGACCAAUUUCUAAAUACACUGAUAUUUCAAGCAAUGCGUACAGUAUGUGUACAAUAACUUCUACCUGUGUUUAAAAAAUAUAAAUUGUAUGUGUUUUCCUUGUGUGUGCAUAGAAUAUCUUUG
rnacentral:lncRNA from 1 species